rnacentral:rRNA from 1 species
AAUACGUUCCCGGACCUUGCACACACCGCCCGUCAAGCCAUGGGAGCCGGGUGUACCUAAAGGCGGUAACCGCAAGGAGCUGCCUAGGGUAAAAUCGGUGACUGGGGCU